AUCAUUACAAUAAUACUGGCAAACUUUGUUGCGUCCUGCUAUCGGGGCCAAGGGAUGAGCUUGAGUUGCAGGUCUUGAUCUUUUGUUUUGCUAGUUCAGUACAGUAGGUGCUGGCCUGCGAUGCAAAAGCAGGGGCUUGGAGUUGCCCACUACUGAGGAAAAAAUGCGGAGGUUUCUCUUUAUUAACUGUGUCUUGGCUAAGACCGCGGAAUAAGUGCCAAGCUCAAAGACAUAUAAUUGUCGUAUGAUCUCAAGACAAAGAUCCUAUUCAAAC
rnacentral:lncRNA from 1 species